rnacentral:rRNA from 1 species
UACGGAGGGAGCUAGCGUUGUCCGGAAUUACUGGGCGUAAAGCGCACGUAGGCGGCGAUUCAAGUCAGAGGUGAAAGCCCGGGGCUCAACCCCGGAACUGCCUUUGAAACUAGAUUGCUAGAAUCUUGGAGAGGCGAGUGGAAUUCCGAGUGUAGAGGUGAAAUUCGUAGAUAUUCGGAAGAACACCAGUGGCGAAGGCGACUCGCUGGACAAGUAUUGACGCUGAGGUGCGAAAGCGUGGGGAGCAAACAGG